rnacentral:rRNA from 1 species
CCUACGGGAGGCAGCAGUCGAGAAUCAUUCACAAUGGGGGAAACCCUGAUGGUGCGACGCCGCGUGGGGGAAUGAAGGUCUUCGGAUUGUAAACCCCUGUCAUGUGGGAGCAAAUUAAAAAGAUAGUACCACAAGAGGAAGAGACGGCUAACUCUGUGCCAGCAGCCGCGGUAAUACAGAGGUCUCAAGCGUUGUUCGGAAUCACUGGGCGUAAAGCGUGCGUAGGCUGUUUCGUAAGUCGUGUGUGAAAGGUGCGGGCUCAACCCGCGGACGGCACAUGAUACUGCGAGACUAGAGUAAUGGAGGGGGAACCGGAAUUCUCGGUGUAGCAGUGAAAUGCGUAGAUAUCGAGAGGAACACUCGUGGCGAAGGCGGGUUCCUGGACAUUAACUGACGCUGAGGCACGAAGGCCAGGGGAGCGAAAGGGAUUAGAUACCCGGGUAGUC